rnacentral:misc_RNA from 1 species
GGUGAAGUUUUUGCCUAAUAUAGUCUACCUGCUCUCAAUUCUUUUGCAGGAUUAUGCUAUUUUUGGCCAUGUUGAAUCAAGAGUUGCUUCUCUUCUUGCUUCUUUCUCUCAUGCCUGUGCAUAUAUUAUGCAUAUGUAUUGACAGUAGCAUGUGCGUAACAUUUGAUCAUUUGGUUCUCCAUUUGAACAAGAAAAUGGAUUGUACAUCUCCAUUUCUUUGCAUGAAAGUGGGUAAAGAAAUAAAAGAGAGAGGAUAAUGAUUUAUUCUGUUUCUCUGAUUGGAUUCUUGUACAAUGAAUGAAGCUAUAAAGAACCAUUGUUAUUGCUUUAUGGCCAAGUUUCACUGUUAGCGGCCAUAAUGUUGCCAUAUCUACUAAUUUGAGAGAAUUCAGUUUAAGAGUGCGAAAGGGCUCAAUUUGCAUUAAAAUUUCGCCAUUUAUUUGCUCAAACUUCUGGGUUCUAUAGUUCUCGUUGAAUUCUUCUCUCUAAGAACGAUUCAUGAUAGAAUCCAAAGCGUAAAUAACUAAUUGCCUUCAGCUAUUUCACUCGCAAAAGCUCUGUAGCAUUAUCCUUAACAAAUUCCACUAAAAAAGACCUUGACAAAUUGAUGAUGGUGGUUUGAUGAGAUAUGACAGUUUGAAUGGUAAAUGGUAGAUAGAAGAGUCAAGAAUAAAAAUGCUACUUUCUUGUUUUUCACUUUUCCUCCUCUAUCCUCACAGUUGACAUCGAUAAAUAUGUCAAGCAAUGGAACAGAAUAAACGAAUGAUUUAAUGCUACUUUUUUUUCCUUCAAGCUUAAUUUCAUUCUGCAAUGUUUUCACAGCACCACACUAAAAUGAAUGGUUUUGGCAUACUGGAAAGUGCAACAGUGUAAGACAACACAGUUCACUACUACAGUUGUGUUUUGAAUAUAAUUAUAACCAACUACCAUCUAUAUCAAGUUAAUUCAACCCCAAACUGGAUGCUACUAUUACAUCUAUUCAGAAGUGGGGGGUACUAUAGGAAAAUUUAUUUGGUACAACCGUCGUAUGUACAAUGGAUAGAUUUUAAACGUUGAUUAUGGUGAAACUCACAUAGGAUCCACCAUGAUUAAUGGUUAUAAUACAACGGUUGUAUUCUAAAAUU